GAUGAACGCUAGCGGCAGGCUUAAUACAUGCAAGUCGAGGGACAGCACAGGUAGCAAUACUGGGUGGUAACCGGCAAACGGGUGCGGAACACGUACACAACCUUCCUUUAAGUGGGGGAUAGCCCAGAGAAAUUUGGAUUAAUACCCCGUAACAUAGUUGAAUGGCAUCAUUUGAUUAUUAUAGCUACGGCGCUUAAUGAUGGGUGUGCGGCUGAUUAGAUAGUUGGCGGGGUAACGGCCCACCAAGUCUACGAUCAGUAGCUGAUGUGAGAGCAUGAUCAGCCACACGGGAACUGAGACACGGGCCCGACUCCUACGGGAGGCAGCAGUAAGGAAUAUUGGUCAAUGGACGCAAGUCUGAACCAGCCAUGCCGCGUGAAGGAUUAAGGUCCUCUGGAUUGUAAACUUCUUUUAUUUGGGACGAAAAAGGGCCUUUCUAGGUCAACUGACGGUACCAGAUGAAUAAGCACCGGCUAACUCCGUGCCAGCCGCCGCAGUAAGAC
rnacentral:rRNA from 1 species